GCCAGCUUCUGAGUUAAUAAUCUCAUUACCACUAAUCCUGUUUAUGGCCAUUUUCUGGGCAGGACAGUCUUGUCAGGGGCAAGGCUUCUUCCUUGCCACCCACUGUUCCUUGCUGCCCCAUUGUUCCUGGGACUGUGGCCUGGCCUCUCGCAAGCCUUCACUGAUAGGCCUUAUCCUGUUUACAGGAGUCUGCAGAAAGGCCUCCUCAAAAGCUCCCAUCCUUUCCUCUAAGAAACGACUCCCUUUGAUCUGUGCAGGCUAAACCCUGUUUAUCAGAACGGGCUUCCUCUGCCUAAUGAUGGGGACAUCCUGUCCAGAAAGUGCCCCAAAAUAACAAUUUCUGGAUUUCAGAAGAUUUGCAGAUUUCUUUCUUUUCAGUAAACUUUUUUUUUUCCUUGUGGGGCGUCUCACUGUGACCUUGCCUUGUGGUUGGCUUUGGGUUUUGAAACCCAAGGGAGCCUGUAGCUGGAUGGUUUCUGCAGGUUUCUGCCUGCCAAGCAGGAGGAAAGGCCAACGUAAUGACAACAGAAACAUCUGGAAGCAGGGCAACGUGCAUGAAGAGCCAGCCAGGAACCCAGGAGCAGUGAAAUCAUUGUUAGACAAAUAAAACGAAAGCAAACAUGCAUUGUAGCUUGUUAGAGGCUGAACAGUGUCACUGCUCCCGGAAUGUUCUCACGGACUCAGCUGUCCUGCAUUGCCUUGGUUGUCAUCGUACGGAGACAGGGAGGAGGAGGAGCCUCAGUAGUGCUUGUCCCUGGCAUCUGCAGCGGCGAGGACUCAACCUGGGACUCCAGGGAAGUGCCCAGUAUCUGCACUGAUGCUGCGUUACUGUCUCAUCAAAUGUGAAAUCUAGAGAACUGGAGUCCAUGACCCUGAAGAAAACAGGACAAACCACAGAGACAGACUGUCUCUAAGAGCUUGUGAGAACCACGGCGAUGCCCAUGGGACGGUGGCGACACGCCUCUGGAUGGUGGGUGCAAAGCUAGACCCUGAACUCUACAACCUAGUGAGACACCUGCAGCCCGGCAGGUGUCACAAAAUGAAAUACGUAAAUACAGCCCAGCAGUCCUCCCAAACCAGAAAAUGCCGUUGUGCUCAUCGGGACGCUAUGGGGAGGCAUCUAAAUGCCACCUCUUUUGGUCCUGGCUUUGUGGACCUCCACCAGUGGCAGGAGGAGACCGGUACACAGCGUCUGUCUGGGAGCCAGGCGCCGGUGCUCCUGUCUACCAAGCACAGAACCCCAGACUUGAGCCCCAGUCUCUACCUGCAGGGGGGAAGCUUUCUCAGUGGUGAAACUGAUCUGCAGGUGUCCACCUUAUCCUCUCCAUCUCUAGUCUCUAUCCCUUCCUCACUACCCCCUCCAUUUCUCUCUGUCCUACCAGAUAAAACAGAAAGGGAAAAGAAAAAGGUCGAUUCGUGGUGCAGACAUUAAGCUACAGUGAUGACCCUGCUGGAAAAAUAUAAUUAAAACAGCUCGUUGGCUGUGUAUAAUGGUCUCACCGACUUUGUGAUUAACAAGUUUUAAACUUUGACUGAUGGAGUUCAAUUCUUGGCUCGAAACCAUCUUCUGAAGUUCUUGAACUUGGACUACCUGGCAGAGAAGCAGAUGUGGGCUAGUGGAGAUCACUAGGGUUUAUCCAUGGUAAAGAGUUCUCAGUGUUUACUCAGAGCUUGGCUUAGCAGAGACUCCACAAACACCUUCUGAGUGAAUAAGUGGGUACAUAGCAGGUGACUAGCUGUGGUGACCACUUGUCCUCAUGGGAAAAUGCAAUUAUUACAUCAGUAAGACUUCACCCAGUCUAAAAAAGAUGUCUGUUGUUAAAAAUUCGGCGGUUCUAGCUGGGUGGGCUAGCUUCACGGGCGGGUAACAGAGACGCGGAGACAACGGCUGGGCAGGGAAGCUGUAUUUUCUUUAUUCAGGAACAACGAUUCAUAAACUAAACCAAACUAAUCACCAAACAGAACUCUGCUGUCUCUUUGCGGCGGCGCAAGCACUCUCUUUCACUCUGCAACUCUCCAACUCUGGAACUCUGGAACUCUGACCCUCUCUCGCGGUUC